AGUGAACGCUGGCGGCAGGCCUAACACAUGCAAGUCGAACGGCAGCACGGUAGCUGGCUCCUGUUGGGGAGGGGCGGACGGGGGCGUGAGACAUCUGCACCUGUCCCUUCGUGUUCGAGGGCGCGGCGGAAGCCGGAUUUAUGCCGCAACCGCACACCGCCUGAGAGCGAGAGCAGUUCAGCCUCCGCCCUUGCGCGUUUGCCGGUGCCGAUGUCGGAUUAGCUAGUUGGCGGGGUAAAGGCCGACCAAGGCGACGAUCCGUAGCUGGUCUGAGAGGAUGAUCAGCCACACUGGAACUGAGACACGGUCCAGACUCCUACGGGAGGCAGCAGUGGGGAAUUUUGGACAAUGGGCGAAAGCCUGAUCCAGCCAUGCCGCGUGGGUGAAGAAGGCCUUCGGGUUGUAAAGCCCUUUUGUUGGGAAAGAAAAGCAUCAGGCUAAUACCGCGCUGUGAUGACGGUACCGGAAGAAUAAGCACCGGCUAACUACGUG
rnacentral:rRNA from 1 species